UACGUAGGGUGCGAGCGUUGUCCGGAAUUAUUGGGCGUAAAGAGCUUGUAGGCGGUUUGUCGCGUCUGCCGUGAAAAUUCGAGGCUCAACCUCGAACUUGCGGUGGGUACGGGCAGACUAGAGUGUGGUAGGGGAGACUGGAACUCCUGGUGUAGCGGUGAAAUGCGCAGAUAUCAGGAGGAACACCGAUGGCGAAGGCAGGUCUCUGGGCCACUACUGACGCUGAGAAGCGAAAGCAUGGGGAGCGAACAGG
rnacentral:rRNA from 1 species